rnacentral:rRNA from 1 species
GAUAAACGCUGGCGGCGUGCCUAAUACAUGCAAGUCGAGCGAACGGACGAGAAGCUUGCUUCUCUGAUGUUAGCGGCGGACGGGUGAGUAACACGUGGAUAACCUACCUAUAAGACUGGGAUAACUUCGGGAAACCGGAGCUAAUACCGGAUAAUAUUUUGAACCGCAUGGUUCAAAAGUGAAAGACGGUCUUGCUGUCACUUAUAGAUGGAUCCGCGCUGCAUUAGCUAGUUGGUAAGGUAACGGCUUACCAAGGCAACGAUGCAUAGCCGACCUGAGAGGGUGAUCGGCCACACUGGAACUGAGACACGGUCCAGACUCCUACGGGAGGCAGCAGUAGGGAAUCUUCCGCAAUGGGCGAAAGCCUGACGGAGCAACGCCGCGUGGGUGAUGAAGGUCUUCGGAUCGUAAAACUCUGUUAUUAGGGAAGAACAUAUGUGUAAGUAACUGUGCACAUCUUGACGGUACCUAAUCAGAAAGCCACGGCUAACUACGUGCCAGCAGCCGCGGUAAUACGUAGGUGGCAAGCGUUAUCCGGAAUUAUUGGGCGUAAAGCGCGCGUAGGCGGUUUUUUAAGUCUGAUGUGAAAGCCCACGGCUCAACCGUGGAGGGUCAUUGGAAACUGGAAAACUUGAGUGCAGAAGAGGAAAGUGGAAUUCCAUGUGUAGCGGUGAAAUGCGCAGAGAUAUGGAGGUACACCAGUGGCGAAGGCGACUUUCUGGUCUGUAACUGACGCUGAUGUGCGAAAGCGUGGGGAUCAAACAGGAUUAGAUACCCUGGUAGUCCACGCCGUAAACGAUGAGUGCUAAGUGUUAGGGGGUUUCCGCCCCUUAGUGCUGCAGCUAACGCAUUAAGCACUCCGCCUGGGGAGUACGACCGCAAGGUUGAAACUCAAAGGAAUUGACGGGGACCCGCACAAGCGGUGGAGCAUGUGGUUUAAUUCGAAGCAACGCGAAGAACCUUACCAAAUCUUGACAUCCUUUGACAACUCUAGAGAUAGAGCCUUCCCCUUCGGGGGACAAAGUGACAGGUGGUGCAUGGUUGUCGUCAGCUCGUGUCGUGAGAUGUUGGGUUAAGUCCCGCAACGAGCGCAACCCUUAAGCUUAGUUGCCAUCAUUAAGUUGGGCACUCUAAGUUGACUGCCGGUGACAAACCGGAGGAAGGUGGGGAUGACGUCAAAUCAUCAUGCCCCUUAUGAUUUGGGCUACACACGUGCUACAAUGGACAAUACAAAGGGCAGCGAAACCGCGAGGUCAAGCAAAUCCCAUAAAGUUGUUCUCAGUUAGGAUUGUAGUCUGCAACUCGACUACAUGAAGCUGGAAUCGCUAGUAAUCGUAGAUCAGCAUGCUACGGUGAAUACGUUCCCGGGUCU